rnacentral:rRNA from 1 species
GAUGAACGCUGGCGGCGUGCCUAAUACAUGCAAGUCGAGCGAACAGACGAGGAGCUUGCUCCUCUGACGUUAGCGGCGGACGGGUGAGUAACACGUGGAUAACCUACCUAUAAGACUGGGAUAACUUCGGGAAACCGGAGCUAAUACCGGAUAAUAUAUUGAACCGCAUGGUUCAAUAGUGAAAGACGGUUUUGCUGUCACUUAUAGAUGGAUCCGCGCCGCAUUAGCUAGUUGGUAAGGUAACGGCUUACCAAGGCAACGAUGCGUAGCCGACCUGAGCGGGUGAACGGCCAGCCUGGAACUGAGAAACGGUCCAGACUCCUAGAGGAGGAAGCAGUAGGGAAUCUUACGGAAUGGGGGAAAGCCUGACGGAGCAAAGCCGCGUGAGUGAUGAAGGUCUUCGGAUCGUAAAACUCUGUUAUUAGGGAAGAACAAAUGUGUAAGUAACUAUGAACGUCUUGACGGUACCUAAUCAGAAAGCCACGGCUAACUACGUG